rnacentral:rRNA from 1 species
UGAACGCUAGCGGCAGGCCUAACACAUGCAAGUCGAGGGGUAACAUAGAGAAGCUUGCUUUUCUGAUGACGACCGGCGCACGGGUGCGUAACGCGUAUGCAACCUACCUCUUACUGAGGGAUAGCCCAUAGAAAUGUGGAUUAAUACCUCAUAGUAUUGUUCUUUCGCAUGUUAGAACAAUUAAAGGUUACGGUAAGAGAUGGGCAUGCGUCCCAUUAGCUAGAUGGUAAGGUAACGGCUUACCAUGGCAACGAUGGGUAGGGGGCCUGAGAGGGUGAUCCCCCACACUGGUACUGAGAACGGACCAGACUCCUACGGGAGGCAGCAGUGAGGAAUAUUGGGCAAUGGAGGCAACUCUGACCCAGCCAUGCCGCGUGCAGGAAGAAGGUCCUAUGGAUUGUAAACUGCUUUUAUUUGGGAAUAAACCCCUCUACGUGUAGAGGGCUGAAGGUACCAAACGAAUAAGCACCGGCUAACUCC